rnacentral:rRNA from 1 species
GUGUCAGCAGCCGCGGUAAGACGAACCGUGCGAACGUUGUUCGGAAUCACUGGGCUUAAAGGGCGCGUAGGCGGCCGCUCAAGUCAGGGGUGAAAUCGUCCGGCUCAACCGGACAAGUGCCCCCGAUACUGAGCGGCUCGAGGGAGGUAGGGGCGGAUGGAACUUCCGGUGGAGCGGUGAAAUGCGUUGAUAUCGGAAGGAACGCCGGUGGCGAAAGCGAUCCGCUGGACCUCUACUGACGCUGAGGCGCGAAAGCCAGGGGAGCAAACGGGAUUAGAUACCCUUGUAGUCC